rnacentral:rRNA from 1 species
UACGAAGGGGGCUAGCGUUGCUCGGAAUCACUGGGCGUAAAGGGUGCGUAGGCGGGGCUUUAAGUCAGGGGUGAAAUCCUGGAGCUCAACUCCAGAACUGCCUUUGAUACUGAGGAUCUUGAGUUCGGGAGAGGUGAGUGGAACUGCGAGUGUAGAGGUGAAAUUCGUAGAUAUUCGCAAGAACACCAGUGGCGAAGGCGGCUCACUGGCCCGAUACUGACGCUCAGGCGCGAUAGCGUGGGGAUCAAACAGG